rnacentral:rRNA from 1 species
UACGAAGGGGGCGAGCGUUGUUCGGAUUUACUGGGCGUAAAGGGCGCGCAGGCGGUCAUUUUUGUCGAGUGUGAAAGCCCCGGGCUUAACCUGGGAACUGCGCUCGAAACGGGAUGACUAGAGAUCGGGAGAGGAGAGUGGAAUUCCCGGUGUAGCGGUGAAAUGCGCAGAUAUCAGGAAGAACACCCGUGGCUAAGGCGGCUCUCUAGUACGUGACUGACGCUGAGACGCGAAAGCGUGGGGAGCGAACAGG